AUCCUUUUCCAGUUCAUAAGGGUGAUGUUUGGGUUCUCUCAUGCUUUGUGACAUGUGCCUUUCUCUAAACUCUGUUAUGAUGUGGGCACAUUAUCUGUCUGAUG
rfam:Dipodomys ordii contig_68278, whole genome shotgun sequence.